AUUGAACGCUGGCGGCAGGCCUAACACAUGCAAGUCGAGCGGAGCGGCGGACGGGUGAGUAAUGCCUAGGAAUCUGACUGGUAGUGGGGGAUAACGUCCGGAAACGGGCGCUAAUACCGCAUACUAUCAGAUGAGACUAGGUGGGGAUAUCUAGGUGGUGGAGUAAAGGCCUACCAAGGUAACGAACCGUAACUGGGCUGAGAGGAUGAUCAGUCACACUGGAACUGAGACACGUUCCAGACUCCUACGGGAGGCAGCAGUGGGGAAUAUUGGACCAUGGGCGAAAGCCUGAUCCAGCCAUGCCGCGUGUGUGAAGAAGGUCUUCGGAUUGUAAAGCACUUUAAGUUGGGAGGCGUUACCAACAGAAUAAGCACCGGCUAACUUCGUGCCAGCAGCCGCGGUAAUAC
rnacentral:rRNA from 1 species